rnacentral:rRNA from 1 species
GGAGUAUGGACCGUGUCUCAGUUCCAUUGUGGCCGUUCAUCCUCUCAGACCGGCUACCGAUCGUCGGCUUGGUAGUCUCUUACACUACCAACUACCUAAUCGGACGCAGGCUCCUCGCAAAGCGAUAAAUCUUUAAUGCAGAAUCCAUGCGAACUCCGCACAACAUCCGGUAUUAGCGUCCCUUUCGGGACGUUGUCCCCGACUUUGCGGCAGAUUACCUGCGCUUUACUCACCCGUUCGCCACUAGCACCGAAGUGCCCGUUCGACUUGCAUGUGUUAAGCACGCCGCCAGCGUUCGUCCUCGAGCCAUGAUCAAACUACU